rnacentral:rRNA from 1 species
GUAGGGAAUAUUGCGCAAUGGGGGAAACCCCGACGCAGCGACGCCGCGUGAGUGAUGAAGGCCUUCGGGUCGUAAAGCUCUGUUGCAGGGGAAUAAAAAAAUGAAGGUACCCUGUGAGGAAGGAUCGGCUAACUUCGUGCCAGCAGCCGCGGUAAGACGAGGGAUCCUAGCGUUGCUCGGAAUCAUUGGGCGUAAAGAGGGCGUAGGUGGCUUGGUAAGUCAGGUGUGAAAGCACAGGGCUCAACCCUGGAAGUGCAUUUGAUACUGCUGAGCUUGAGUGUCGGAGAGGUUACCGGAAUACCUGGUGUAGUGGUGAAAUACGUAGAUAGCAGGUGGAACACCGGAGGCGAAGGCGGGUAACUGGACGAACACUGACACUGAGGCCCGAAAGCGUGGGGAUCAAACAGGAUUAGAAACCCCGGUAGUCC